UGGGGAAUAUUGGACAAUGGGGGCAACCCUGAUCCAGCCAUGCCGCGUGUGUGAAGAAGGCCUUUUGGUUGUAAAGCACUUUAAGCGAGGAGGAGGCUACCCUGACUAAUACUCAGGAGUAGUGGACGUUACUCGCAGAAUAAGCACCGGCUAACUCUGUGCCAGCAGCCGCGGUAAUACAGAGGGUGCGAGCGUUAAUCGGAAUUACUGGGCGUAAAGCGCGCGUAGGCGGUUUGUUAAGUCGGAUGUGAAAUCCCCGGGCUCAACCUGGGAAUUGCAUUCGAUACUGGCAAGCUAGAGUAUGGGAGAGGAAGGUAGAAUUCCAGGUGUAGCGGUGAAAUGCGUAGAGAUCUGGAGGAAUACCGAUGGCGAAGGCAGCCUUCUGGCCUAAUACUGACGCUGAGGUGCGAAAGCAUGGGGAGCAAACAGGAUUAGAUACCCAGGUAGUCCCUGAGCGGGCUGGCAAGGCGCAU
rnacentral:rRNA from 1 species